GGGGAUGUAAAGGUUUCGACGGGGAUGUUGAAGCAAGAUAAGCGAGCAGUUGUGGGGCGCAACUAUAAAAGCUUCAAACUUAAAAUUAAACGCUAACAAAAAUUUAGCUUACGCUGCCUAAUUACGGCGGCUGUCUUGCCUGAGAGCACCACGGCUUAGGACAGGGCAUCAUUUAGUGGUCAACGACUCAUUGUCUUUCGUCGGGUAAUAAGCCGUAUUAAGACGAUACCGGCAGAGGUUGGUUUGUUAUCUACCUGCCUUUGUGGGGAAUCCUAACAGAUAACUGCGCUCGGAGAAAGUUUUGUGAAUGCGUUUUCGGACAGGAGUUCGAUUCUCCUCAUCUCCACCA
rnacentral:tmRNA from 1 species